AUGAUGGAAUCCUUUAGUGUUUCCUUACUGAUCCUGUGUCUUCAGCUCAUUUGGGUGAGCGGCCAGCAGAAGGAGGUAGAACAGAGUCCUGAGUCCCUCCGUGUUCCAGAGGGAGCCAGCACCUCUCUGAACUGCACUUACAGGAAUAGCGCUUCUCGGACCUUCAGGUGGUACCGACAGUAUCCUGGGAAAGGCCCUGAGCUGCUGGUGUCUGCAUACUCCAUUGGUGACCAAGAAGAGGGAAGAUUCAGGGCCCAUCUUGACAAAUCCAGCCGACAUCUGUCCCUGCAUAUCAGAGAUGCCCAGUCCCUAGACUCAGCCACCUACCUCUGCGCAGAGAGCACACAGUGCUCCCCGGGCGCCUGCAGCUGCACCCAAACCUCAGAGGCUCUGGCAGAGCUGAGGCAGCGCAGAGAGCACAGGGCAGAGCUGUUCCGCUCCUGCUCCAGAUGUAGUGGGAGCAAAGAUCAACAGUAG